rnacentral:rRNA from 1 species
GCUACAGGCUUAACACAUGCAAGUCGACGGGUAGCAUUUCAGUUUGCUUGCAAACUGGAGAUGGCGACCGGCGCACGGGUGAGUAACACGUAUCCAACCUGCCGAUAACUCGGGGAUAGCCUUUCGAAAGAAAGAUUAAUACCCGAUGGUAUAAUCAGACCGCAUGGUCUUGUUAUUAAAGAAUUUCGGUUAUCGAUGGGGAUGCGUUCCAUUAGGCAGUUGGUGAGGUAACGGCUCACCAAACCUUCGAUGGAUAGGGGUUCUGAGAGGAAGGUCCCCCACAUUGGAACUGAGACACGGUCCAAACUCCUACGGGAGGCAGCAGUGAGGAAUAUUGGUCAAUGGGCGCAGGCCUGAACCAGCCAAGUAGCGUGAAGGAUGACUGCCCUAUGGGUUGUAAACUUCUUUUAUAUGGGAAUAAAGUUUUCCACGUGUGGAAUUUUGUAUGUACCAUAUGAAUAAGGAUCGGCUAACUCCGUGCCAGCAGCCGCGGUAAUACGGAGGAUCCGAGCGUUAUCCGGAUUUAUUGGGUUUAAAGGGAGCGUAGGUGGACAGUUAAGUCAGUUGUGAAAGUUUGCGGCUCAACCGUAAAAUUGCAGUUGAUACUGGCUGUCUUGAGUACAGUAGAGGUGGGCGGAAUUCGUGGUGUAGCGGUGAAAUGCUUAGAUAUCACGAAGAACUCCGAUUGCGAAGGCAGCUCACUGGACUGCAACUGACACUGAUGCUCGAAAGUGUGGGUAUCAAACAGGAUUAGAUACCCUGGUAGUCCACACAGUAAACGAUGAAUACUCGCUGUUUGCGAUAUACAGUAAGCGGCCAAGCGAAAGCAUUAAGUAUUCCACCUGGGGAGUACGCCGGCAACGGUGAAACUCAAAGGAAUUGACGGGGGCCCGCACAAGCGGAGGAACAUGUGGUUUAAUUCGAUGAUACGCGAGGAACCUUACCCGGGCUUAAAUUGCAUUUGAAUAUAUUGGAAACAGUAUAGCCGUAAGGCAAAUGUGAAGGUGCUGCAUGGUUGUCGUCAGCUCGUGCCGUGAGGUGUCGGCUUAAGUGCCAUAACGAGCGCAACCCUUAUCUUUAGUUACUAACAGGUCAUGCUGAGGACUCUAGAGAGACUGCCGUCGCAAGAUGUGAGGAAGGUGGGGAUGACGUCAAAUCAGCACGGCCCUUACGUCCGGGGCUACACACGUGUUACAAUGGGGGGUACAGAAGGCAGCUACCUGGUGACAGGAUGCUAAUCCCAAAAGCCUCUCUCAGUUCGGAUCGAAGUCUGCAACCCGACUUCGUGAAGCUGGAUUCGCUAGUAAUCGCGCAUCAGCCAUGGCGCGGUGAAUACGUUCCCGGGCCUUGUACACACCGCCCGUCAAGCCAUGAAAGCCGGGGGUACCUAAAGUACGUAACCGCGAGGAGCGUCCUAGGGUAAAA